UACAGAGGUCCCAAGCGUUGUUCGGAUUCACUGGGCGUAAAGGGUGCGUAGGUGGUGGGGUAAGUCGGAUGUGAAAGCUCGGAGCUCAACUCCGAAAUGGCAUUGGAAACUACCCUGCUAGAGGAUUGGAGGGGGGACUGGAAUACUUGGUGUAGCAGUGAAAUGCGUAGAUAUCAAGUGGAACACCAGUGGCGAAGGCGGUUGCCUGGAGCUUUGCUGACGCUGAUGCGCGAAAGCGUGGGGAGCGAUCCGG
rnacentral:rRNA from 1 species